CUUGCUAGAAGAUGACGAGCGGCGGACGGGUGAGUAAUACUUAGGAAUCUACCUAGUAGUGGGGGAUAGCUCGGGGAAACUCGAAUUAAUACCGCAUACGACCUACGGGAGAAAGGGGGCAACUUGUUGCUCUCGCUAUUAGAUGAGCCUAAGUCGGAUUAGCUAGAUGGUGGGGUAAAGGCCUACCAUGGCGACGAUCUGUAGCUGGUCUGAGAGGAUGAUCAGCCACACCGGGACUGAGACACGGCCCGGACUCCUACGGGAGGCAGCAGUGGGGAAUAUUGGACAAUGGGGGAAACCCUGAUCCAGCCAUGCCGCGUGUGUGAAGAAGGCCUUUUGGUUGUAAAGCACUUUAAGCAGUGAAGAAGACUCUUCGGUUAAUACCCGGAGACGAUGACAUUAGCUGCAGAAUAAGCACCGGCUAACUCUGUGCCAGCAGCCGCGGUAAUACAGAGGGUGCAAGCGUUAAUCGGAAUUACUGGGCGUAAAGCGAGCGUAGGUGGCUUGAUAAGUCAGAUGUGAAAUCCCCGGGCUUAACCUGGGAACUGCAUCUGAUACUGUCAGGCUAGAGUAGGUGAGAGGAAGGUAGAAUUCCAGGUGUAGCGGUGAAAUGCGUAGAGAUCUGGAGGAAUACCGAUGGCGAAGGCAGCCUUCUGGCAUCAUACUGACACUGAGGCUCGAAAGCGUGGGUAGCAAACAGGAUUAGAUACCCUGGUAGUCCACGCCGUAAACGAUGUCUACUAGUCGUUGGGUCCCUUGAGGACUUAGUGACGCAGCUAACGCAAUAAGUAGACC
rnacentral:rRNA from 1 species